rnacentral:rRNA from 1 species
CGAUCCAGCCAUGCCGCGUGCGGGAAGAAGGCCUUCGGGUUGUAAACCGCUUUUAGUCGGGAAGAAAAGGCACGUCCUAAUACGGCGUGUUCUUGACGGUACCGGCGGAAUAAGCACCGGCUAACUACGUGCCAGCAGCCGCGGUAAUACGUAGGGUGCGAGCGUUAAUCGGAAUUACUGGGCGUAAAGCGUGCGCAGGCGGUUCGUCAAGUCUGAUGUGAAAGCCCCGGGCUCAACCUGGGAAUGGCAUUGGAAACUGGCGAGCUGGAGUGCGGCAGAGGGGGUGGAAUUCCGCGUGUAGCAGUGAAAUGCGUAGAGAUGCGGAGGAACACCGAUGGCGAAGGCAGCCCCCUGGGCCGACACUGACGCUCAGGCACGAAAGCGUGGGGAGCAAACAGGAUUAGAUACCCUGGUAGUCCACGCCCUAAACGAUGUCGACUGGGUGUUGGGAGAGAGAUCUCUUGGUACCGUAGCUAACGCGUAGAAGUCGACCGCCUGGGGAGUACGGCCGCAAGGUUA